rnacentral:rRNA from 1 species
GGGCCCGCACAAGCGGUGGAGCAUGUGGUUUAAUUCGAUGCAACGCGAAGAACCUUACCAGGGCUUGACAUACUGCGAAUCUCUCUGAAAGGAGAGAGUGCCUUCGGGAAUGCAGAUACAGGUGGUGCAUGGCUGUCGUCAGCUCGUGUCGUGAGAUGUUGGGUUAAGUCCCGCAACGAGCGCAACCCUUGUUUUUAGUUACCAAUUCGUUGGGUUUUCUAGAAAGACUGCCGGUGACAAACCGGAGGAAGGUGAGGAUGACGUCAAGUCAGCAUGCCCCUUAUGUCCUGGGCUACACACGUGCUACAAUGGUUAAGACAAAGAGUUGCAAGUUUGCAAGAACAAGCUAAUCUCAUAAACUUAACCUAAGUUCAGAUUGUAGGCUGCAACUCGCCUACAUG